AUUGAACGCUGGCGGCAUGCUUUACACAUGCAAGUCGAACGGUAACAGGGUGCUUGCACCGCUGACGAGUGGCGAACGGGUGAGUAAUGCGUCGGAACGUGCCGAGUAGUGGGGGAUAACGCAGCGAAAGUUGUGCUAAUACCGCAUACGUACUGAGGUAGAAAGUGGGGGACCUUCGGGCCUCACGCUAUUCGAGCGGCCGACGUCUGAUUAGCUAGUAGGCGAGGUAAAGGCUCACCUAGGCGACGAUCAGUAGCGGGUCUGAGAGGAUGAUCCGCCACACUGGGACUGAGACACGGCCCAGACUCCUACGGGAGGCAGCAGUGGGGAAUUUCGGACAAUGGGCGAAAGCCUGAUCCAGCCAUGCCGCGUGUCUGAAGAAGGCCUUCGGGUUGUAAAGGACUUUUGUCGGGGAGGAAAUCCCCAGCGUUAAUACCGCUGGGGGAUGACAGUACCUGAAGAAUAAGCACCGGCUAACUACGUGCCAGCAGCCGCAGUAAAAC
rnacentral:rRNA from 1 species